AUCAUUUCAGUGAUUGCAGUGUUGGUCAUGAUUCAGCUCAUGGUUGAGCCAGGACAGGCUCUUACCUGUGGUCAAGUGGAUGCUUCUUUAGCACCUUGUGUCCCUUACCUUACUCAGGGUGGCGAACCUGGAACUGCAUGUUGUAACGGAGUGAAAGCCUUGAAAGUUAUGGCUCAAUCUAUAGUUGACAGAAGGGCAGCCUCAAUUGUGUCAAGGCUGCUGCCAACAGAUAUGCAAAUCUGAAGGAUGAUGAUGCUCAGGCUCUCCCUAGCAAAUGUGGCGUUACAAUGGAUAUUCCCGUCUCUCGUACCAUCAACUGUGGCAUGUAAGAUUAUCAUCAUAUAAUUAUACAUCUCAAUUAGAGUAAUUGCACAUUCUGACUUGUUUCUUUUUUGCAGAAUCAACUGAAGUGAUUCAAUGCAGCCAGAAAUUUGCCAGGCUGAUCAUGCUAGAAAUACAUGGAACCAAGUUUUACAUUACCUACUUAUUUUGAUGUAUAAGAAGCUUUGAGAUAUUAUAAUAAUACAAUACUCUCUUUUGUCCUUCUCUCUGGACAAUUAUGCCAAUGCGCAUUUCAUAUUGCAGAGUCAAUAAAAGCAUAUACGACUGUAUGAACUACAUAUAUAACUUUGGAAAGACAAAAGUUGUGCAAUAUCGACAGGCAUCUAGUUCAAUGCCUUAAGUUUAACUUCUAUACACUUACAGUGUAAAAGGAACUACAGGUGACAGUUCAUAAUAAAUAGGAUUAUUUACCUGAAAAAUAAGGCAGGUUACUUGCUAUGAGAGACAUCUAGCUCAAUGCUGAUGCACUAGCCUUCUUUCUCUUGUGGGUCAUAGAGGUUGGGAUUCAAGACAUUAAUGAGCAAAAAAAACACUAAACCAACUUAAAGAAUUUACGAACUGCUCUCCAAUCCCAUUUGGCACAUCAAGGAAACGUCAUUUGAUCAACUUUUAAGUUGCAAGAAGCUCCUGUCUAUAAAGACCAUCCAAUCCAAUAUAUUCCAAGUAAGAUCAGUUGCUAAAGAAUGUAUAUUUGCCAAGUGAUGCAUUUUUGAAUAUGAUCAAAAUCUAUCAGCAGUUACUGCAAAUCUCAUCAUCUAAUGCAGUUAGUUAAAUCACAUUUUUUUUCCAUAACCAAGAUUUGGCUUUGACACUAUACUAAUCCUUUAAGUUCGUCCAUUGUACUUGUAGACAAAGCAGCCUAAGGCUCUCAGCCAGACAAACUGCAACUAAUGAAGAUAAGGUGUUCCGGAAUUCAUUUAUAUCACUCAGAAAUAUACAAAUGCCACUGGAAACAUCUAUAUGAUUGACAUGUAAAUGAAAUGGAAAUUCCAAACUAAUAUAACAGUCUUCCUUAAUCACAAAAACAUCACCGAGCUAAACAGCUAGCAUCAGAUUCAACCGUUUUAGUCGUCCACUUAUUAUCUCAUAAACGUCAACUAAAUGUAGAGGAGGAAAAGAACAGAAUGAGGUAUCGGUCACAAAUGGUCUCAGAACAAUUUCUUUCUAAAAUCGCACUAUUUCACGAAUUAAUAAUUUAUUAUAUGGACACUACUAAUUUUUUAGUUCUCAUCACUAAUUUGUAAUGCUUAUUGUCUCUAACAAUAAGGAAUUCCAGUUUCAGCCUAAUAAUAAACUAACCAAAAUCAAUGCUAAGUUUCCUAAAUAAUGUUAUUAUUUCAAUAUCAAACUAUCUAAUCCACAAUGGUUAAAAUGAUUUCCACCUCAAUACUAUAUAUAUAUAUAUAUAUAUAUAUAUAAAUAAAUAAAUAAAUAAAAAAAAUUGACAAGACACCUGAAAGUAAACCUUGAACCUGCCAGAGCAUCUCUACAGACACCGUCCUAAUGUCAAAUUAUAUAUUUCACAUAUUUGUAUUUCUAUACAUAAUCUAUACAAACAGUAGUUUUUCUUAUUAAGUGAAUUCAAUUGGACUCUCUUUGCACAAUGUGGAUCCGUCGAAGUUAAUCUUUUUUCUAUGUAAUCUAAUUCCAUUUAUCUAGAUGAAUAUCUGAUUAGCACAUUUGUAAUGGAAACGAUGAAGACCUGUUAUUCUAGCAUGUUUUCGCAAGUCCACAAAGUUGACCUGGAAAUAUAAAGCUUCAAAGAGGAAUCCCAUUACAAGAAGGCCAAACAUAGCAAUUUUGUAAAGGAGCUCAAAACUAUACCAAAAAGUUUGAACAGGGAGAAUAUCAGGAAAAAUAAUAGGAGUAACAAUAAGAAAGGGUGAGAGGAGAUCUAACGGCAUCUCCUCGUACUACUCCGACAUUAGAGAAUGUUACAUCUAUCCUCUCUGCUGUCGUAAUGGUUUCCAAAGGGGUUUAAAAGGACUUGGGUGCUCCGCCUUAUUGCCUUAAGGUUUUGGGUCAGAUGCUCAGAUUCCUUAUUAGAUAAUCCCCUCCCCCAGAUAAAUAACAUAUACGACUUGUUCAGUAAGAUUAUCAUAAUCAGUAAUCAUUAUUACAUUAGACCAUAUUCGGGCCAUGUUACUUUCAACUAUGAUGUACAGACUACAGAGUUAGGACAACAUUCCUUAUGUCUAAUUGUUGAGACUGGCGAUUUGAAAUAGGUAUCUUAACCAGUCAAAUUUUGGAGAAUAGAUGCAUCCUAUUAAUAUCAACCUAACAUUUUUUUUAUUAAGGAAAUGCCUGGAAGUGUAAUUUUCUGCAAUCAAUGAGGAUAAGAUUCUUCAGUUCAUAUACUUGUCCAGAACACAGCACAACACAUGCAGGAAACAUCAUAGCUGCAAGGGAAACUGUUUUGAUCCCAUCACUUUCUUCUUCUAAUUGUUUAUCAAUGACAUAAGAAAGGGAAAAUGCCAAAAUCGUGUAACAAAUUUUACAUAAGCCAUUAACUGACCUUUCUUUUAUUAGCCAUCUUGAGAAUACUAUAUAUAUCCCCUUCUACGCCUUCAACUAUACCAGUCCACAGGGAGAACCAAGAAAAGAAAACUAGUAAUCCAAAAACUUCAAGUUUUCAACAGAAAGCGAAUAUGAAGGGAAUCAUCAUUUCAGCAAUUGCAGUGUUAGCCAUGAUUCAGUUCAUGGUUGAGCCAGGACAGGCUCUUACUUGUGGUCAAGUGGAUGCUUCUUUAGCACCUUGUAUUCCUUACCUUACUCAGGGCGGGGAUCCGGGAGCAGCUUGCUGUAAUGGUGUGAGAGCGUUGAAAGGUAUGGCUCAAAACACCGCUGACAAGAGGGCUGCAUGUAAU
rnacentral:lncRNA from 1 species